rnacentral:lncRNA from 10 species
CUUUUCUAGUGUUCCACAGCAGGUCUGUAACAAGUGGGCUUAAAUCUCACGUCUUUAUCCUUCACCAUGCUGAAUGGACUGAGAAAUGCCCACCCACUUGUGACACAGAACUAUAUACCCUCUCGUUUCAGGAUGUUGAUAUAAGGUCUCAUUGCCUUCCUCAGCAAUCUUCUGAAUCUGGCAUUCCUUCUGAGAAGACUAACAAGCAUUCAUCCAAAAUGUUCGUCAUUGGAAAGUUAGCUGUAAUUUGAUCUAACUUCUCACUCAAUAUGAUAGUUUUUUUUUGGUAUACAAGAGACCUGAUGGAAUCUUUCUUAGGCACCAUGUCGUGCAAAGCUGCCAAAAGUGAACGCAUCCACACCAGCCAGCACGGCACUGGAGACUCCCGUGAGCAUGUUCACUGCUGCGAUGACCCCAAUUAACAGUUUAAUGGGGGAAAUGUACAGAGGGGAUCUGAAAACUGUUGAAGUCACCAAAGCAUUACAAGAUGCCAAGAGAUAAUGGUCAAAAACAGCCUAAUAACACACAGUGCCCAUGUGCAUGCUCCACUAUCUCAAGCCACUGUCACCCUGGAUCUUCUGCAGCACUGGCUGGGCCAUAAGAAUGAAAAUGGAUUUUGUCUUCUGGAGAAAAAGUUUCUGAAGUACGUAUGAAAAAGACAUCCUCAGAAACAGACCCUUUAAAAAGCUGAUGGAAACAUCAUGUCAGUAAUCACCCCUGAGGACAGUAUAUGCUAAGGGGGAAUCUAAUUAUACAUAUAAAUAUAAGAAUUCACCUACAGAACAGAUGAAAUUUUAGGAUAAAUCCUGAGCUAGUUUUCUCUUUCUCAAGUAGUCUUUAAAAAGUGGGAUUUAUUCACAAUUUGCUGAGGUACAAGGACUUGUCUGAAGUUCAGAUAAUCUGUUUGAUAAUUUUUUUUCCUUUUUUUUUGAGACAGUCUUGCUCUGUUGCCCAGGCUGGAGUGCAGUGGCGUGAUCUCAGCUCAGCUUGCUUUGGAAUCAACCUGCCUCCCGGGUUGAAGCGAUUCUCAUACCUCAGCCUCCCAAGUACCUGGGAUUACUGGCAUGUGCCACCAUGCCUGGCUACUUUUUUGUAUUUUUAGCAGAGAUAGGGGUUUCACCAUGUUGGCCAGGCUGGUCUUGAACUGCUGACCUCAAGUGAUCCAUCUGCCUCGGCCUCCCAAACUGUUGGGAUUACAGGUGUGUGCCACCACACCCGGCCUGUUCGAUGACUUUUCAUCAAACAUAAUUCAUUUCCAUGUGUUCCACUGAACACAACACAAUUUCAUUACCAUGGCAUAGCAAGUCCUACCUUGAGCCUGAAACAUUCCAGCAUCUUUCUUAUGAAGGUCGUCCAUACUGCUGUUGUCACCUUUAUUCCAUUGAUUAGAAAUCUUAUAGGCAUUCUCACACACUCCAAAUGCACAGCACUGGUAAGCAUAAGGCAUUUCUAUAACCCUUUAAAUGAACAAAACCCAAACAAAAAACACUUAAAGAAACGGAUAAUUAAAUAUAGUGUUCAUGUUCUUUCACCCAAUUAUUCUACCUUUGGAUUUUAGCCUAAAUAAAUAAUCCAAAGUAUAAGUUAUGCACAUAAAGGUGUUCAUUACAGUGCUAUUUAUAAAAACAAUGAAGUUAUUAAAAAUGAUCACUAUGAAAUGUUAAUUGCUGAAGCUGAGUGAUGCAACUUCCAUUACUCAAAUGAUGGAAAAUUUCCAAAAUAAAAAGGUUAAAAAAAAGGCUGCUAAGAAAAAUUGUAGCAACAUGAAAAAGUGCUUAUGGCAGAAUAAGUGACUACAAUAUGACAUAUAUUUCUAUGCACAUUUUGAGUCUAACAAUAAAAAAUGCACUGGAAACAAAGCUUGGAAAGAAGUAACUUAACCAUGUUGUUUAGAGUGGCAUUUUUAAGAUUUUUGUUCCUGGAUGCUUAAUAGAGACUGGGAAGGGUGGACUUGGGGGGAAGUGGGGAUGGUUAAUGGGUACAAAAAAUAGAAAGAAUAAAUAACACCGACUAUUCAAUAGCACAACAGGGUGACUGUAGUCAAUAAUAAUUUAAUUGGGCAUUUUAAAAUAAAGAGUGUAAUUGGAUUGUUUGUAACUCAAAGGAUAAAUGCUUGAGGGGAUGAAUACCCCAUUUUCCAUGAUGUGCUUAUUACAUAUUGCAUGCCUGUAUCAAAACAUUUCAUGUACCCCAUAAAUAUAAACACCAAC